UACGAAGGGGGGCUAGCGUUGCUCGGAAUCACUGGGCGUAAAGCGCACGUAGGCGGAUUGCUAAGUCAGGGGUGAAAUCCUGGAGCUCAACUCCAGAACUGCCUUUGAUACUGGCGACCUUGAGUCCGGGAGAGGUGAGUGGAACUGCGAGUGUAGAGGUGAAUUCGUAGAUAUUCGCAAGAACACCAGUGGCGAAGGCGGCUCACUGGCCCGGUACUGACGCUGAGGUGCGAAAGCGUGGGGAGCAAACAGG
rnacentral:rRNA from 1 species